AUAUUACACACACACAUAUACAUACUAUACAUUACACCAGAGAAGAUUAGCAUGGCUCCUGCACAAGGACGGCAGAAAAACUUGUGAAACACUCCACACUUUC